GAUGAACGCUGGCGGCGUGCCUAAUACAUGCAAGUCGAGCGAACAGACGAGGAGCUUGCUCCUGUGACGUUAGCGGCGGACGGGGGAGUAACACGUAGGUAACCUACCUAUAAGACUGGGAUAACUUCGGGAAACCGGAGCUAAUACCGGAUAAUAUUUCGAACCGCAUGGUUCGAUAGUGAAAGAUGGCUUUGCUAUCACUUAUAGAUGGACCUGCGCCGUAUUAGCUAGUUGGUAAGGUAACGGCUUACCAAGGCAACGAUACGUAGCCGACCUGAGAGGGUGAUCGGCCACACUGGAACUGAGACACGGUCCAGACUCCUACGGGAGGCAGCAGUAGGGAAUCUUCCGCAAUGGGCGAAAGCCUGACGGAGCAACGCCGCGUGAGUGAUGAAGGUCUUCGGAUCGUAAAACUCUGUUAUUAGGGAAGAACAAACGUGUAAGUAACUGUGCACGUCUUGACGGUACCUAAUCAGAAAGCCACGGCUAACUACGUG
rnacentral:rRNA from 1 species